GAAUAUUGCACAAUGGGCGCAAGCCUGAUGCAGCGACGCCGCGCGGGGGAUGACGGCCUUCGGGUUGUAAACACCUCUCGACAGGGUCGAAGCGUUAUAGCGUCGCUACCUGGAGAACAAGCACCGGCCAACUCCGUGCCAACAGCCGCGGUAAUACGUAGGGUGCGAGCGUUGUCCGGAAUUACUGGGCGUAAAGAGCUCGUAGGUGGUUUGUCGCGUCGUCUGUGAAAUCCCGGGGCUUAACCUCGGGCGUGCAGGCGAUACGGGCAUAACUUGAGUGCUGUAGGGGAGACUGGAAUUCCUGGUGUAGCGGUGAAAUGCGCAGAUAUCAGGAGGAACACCAAUGGCGAAGGCAGGUCUCUGGGCAGUAACUGACGCUGAGGAGCGAAAGCAUGGGUAGCGAAC
rnacentral:rRNA from 1 species